rnacentral:misc_RNA from 1 species
GAUGAAGAACGUAGCGGAAUGCGAUAAGUAAUGUGAAUUGCAGAAUUCAGUGAAUCAUCGAAUCUUUGAACGCACAUUGCGCCCCCUGGUAUUCCGGGGGGCAUGCCUGUUCGAGCGUCAUUACAACCCUCAAGCUCUGCUUGGUGUUGGGCCCCGCCGCCCCGGCGGGCCCUAAAAUCAGUGGCGGUGCCGUCCGGCUCCGAGCGUAGUAAUUCUUCUCGCUCUGGAGGUCCGGGUGUGUGCUCGCCAGCAACCCCCAAUUUUUUUCAGGUUGACCUCGGAUCAGGUAGGGAUACCCGCUGAACUUAAGCAUAUCAAUAAGCGGAGGA